GAUGAACGCUAGCGGGAGGCUUAACACAUGCAAGUCGAGCGGUAAGGCAGCAAUGCCUGAGAGCGGCGCACGGGUGCGUAACGCGUAUGCAACCUGCCUUAUACAGGGGAAUAGCCCAUGGAAACGUGGAUUAAUGUCCCAUAGGAUUACGGAUUUGCAUGGACUUGUGAUUAAACCUGAGGGGGUAUAAGAUGGGCAUGCGUCUGAUUAGGUAGUUGGUAGGGUAAUGGCCUACCAAGCCGACGAUCAGUAGGGGUUCUGAGAGGAUUACCCCCCACACUGGUACUGAGACACGGACCAGACUCCUACGGGAGGCAGCAGUGAGGAAUAUUGGUCAAUGGCCGGAAGGCUGAACCAGCCAUCCCGCGUGCAGGAUGACGGCCCUAUGGGUUGUAAACUGCUUCUGUACCUGAAGAAACCUGUUUACGAGUAGACAGUUGCCGGUAAGGUAUGAAUAAGCAUCGGCUAACUCCGUGCCAGCAGCCGCGGUAACAC
rnacentral:rRNA from 1 species